GGCUCCGCCGGCAGGGCCCCGCGGAUCCGCAGGUAUGAGAACGAGCCCGGCCUCGGACACUGCGCAUGUGCCAUCUCAGGUUGGCCAGUGUGUUGCUAUUAAACACCAAGUCGCGAGUGAGCACCACUGAGGUCUUCCUGUCCUCGCUGUCACGCCUUUUAAUCUUAGCUAGAGAAUUAUCUGAGAUGCUACAGUUCAUCUGGCUUUCUCGGUGCUUUUUUGAGGGCAGAUGUCUGAGAAUUAGACAGUUCAUCUACUUUGUCUCUUACCUCUCCUGGCGCUUUCCUCGUUGAUUCCGUAGUGACACGUGCCACUCUGAAAAUGCCGGUUGAAUUCCUACAUUGCUGUUGCCAGCAAGCUUCCUCUAUCAGACCAUCUCCUUUCUAAACCGAUGCUUCUGAGAUCAGCAAACAUACUUUUUAGCACUCGUGAAGAUGACCAGAUUUGGACUGAGGGCCGGAGUUAUCUAAGUCAAGGCUUUUAAGGAUUUGUGGCUUCUGUUGACUGCUUGUGGUUCUUUAUACCUGCUUUCAGAUUUUUAGCCAGGAGCCAAACAGUCGACCUGGCUAAGUACAUGACCUGCGGGUAAAUGAAUUGUCACUAUUCUGAAACUUAUGAAUCACCUACUCCUGCAGGGCACUAUGCCGAGCCCUGGGGAUACAGUGAUGAUGACAAUUCUUGCCAUCCAUGAUAGCUCAUUUCAUUGACUGAUUCAGGAAACGUUUGUUGAACAACAACUGUGGGCCAGGCACAGUUUAGAUUAUUACUGGUCACUGAAAGAAUGAAGUGUGAUCUAGGAUCGAGCAUGCGGCUACGAGUCAGAUUUGAUUUCGAACCUGGGCCCGAAUCUUUCCUUGCCUAGUAAUCUUGGCCAGUCGGCAGGCAGUUCUGCUCCACGGACUCACUCAGGGACCCAGGCGGACGGAAGCUCCCAUCUUGUAGCCGCACCAUCUGGAACACCUCCAUAUUCGCAGAGUCCAGGAGAGAGAGAGACUAGAGAAUGGACUUUUACUGCCUCUGUCUGGCAAUGACACACACCACACAUUUCAUUGGCCCAAACUGGUCACAUGGCACAGCUGGGAAAUGUAAGGGAGCAAAUGGCCUAUUUGGUGAGCUUAUUGUUUCUGCCACAGGGUAUUUCCAAGAGUAGGGAGAUCUGACGACUCUUGGCCCAAAUUUCCAGCUUGGGCGUUAAGACGAUGUCUCUGAGAGUGAAGAGGAAGGCACACGUCUCUGCAGAGUGGCUCCUGCACCCGUCAGUCUGAGGAGCUCAGCGUUCCCGUCUGGUGCCCUGCAGUUUUAUUUGUUUGAGAAUGUGUCCCCCCCCACCCCCUUUUUCUCAUUCUUGCCUACCCUCAAAACAUGGGAAGAAAAGCAGUCUGCCUGAAGCAGCCAGCAGUCUGGCCCAGGCCCCCAGGGUGGAGCGGAGCCAUUCCCGACAGGCCCAGAAGUGCCCAGGAGCUCCCAGGGCCCCGUGGGCGCCGCGUGGGAGGCUGACACAGCCAAGGGGCGGUGUGCCCGGCCACCGACUCCACCACCGCCGGUCCUAGUGCUCUGUGCAGAGCACCGCCGAAAGCAACCCACAUAUCCUCAGAAAUGGAGAGCACUGGACCAGGACCCAGCAAUUUGGGGCAGCAGUUUUUCUGGAGCACGCAGCUUGGGAAUUUGCCUGAAGAAAUCUUUCAUUCCUAGAGUGUUGGUGGAUAAAUGGCACUUAUUUGUUUAACCUCAAAUCAAGCCACAGCCCCCAUUUCUGAGCUGCUUUGAAAGGGUUGUUUUAAAAGAGCUGAACAAGCUAAAA